AUGCUCCGCCUUGCAAGAAUCUGUACUGCAAGGCCGCGUUCAGGCCGUGCCGUAUUUGCGCUCGUCGCCUGUCCGCCACCCUGUAUUGCCUCUCACAGCUUGGACCACAAGUAUCAUGAUGCUAUCAAGUGCACCGGUGACAAAGAUACCGGAUUCUCGAACCGGAAAUCGCAUGUCGUUACUCAUGGCGCUUGCUUCUCCACCGCUACCGAAACGGUUCUCGUCCAAGCCCGGGACUCGUCUCUGCUAGCAUCGGAGAUAGAAACUGGGACCGACCAGCAGAGGUUCGAUGAUGCGUGGAGGGCCUACGAGAAGCACCUUCACAUGGACGGGCUCCCGAGAAAGUCUGUUCUGAGCAAGCUCAUCACUGGCUUCGCGGCGACCUGUGACACUCACAGGCUUAACCAGUCAUACAAUGUGGUUGAUCGCGCAUUUCAAGAGAGGCAUGAACUGCUGGAGAAGGAGGCCCUGAUUUACCUGUCCCUUAUUCUUGCACGGUGCGCUCCUCCUUAUCUUGCUGUAAAUGUUGUGAGGAAGCUGGUGAAGAUUGAAGCAUACCCACCCGUUGCAGCAUGGUCUGCAAUUAUAGCACACAUGUGUCAGACUGCAACCGGCUCAUUUCUUGCUGCCGACAUGGUAAUGGAGAUCGGAUACCUUUUCCAGAACAAUAGAGUUGAUCCGCGGAAGAAGAGCAACCGUCCACUGCUAGCAAUGAAGCCCAAUUCAUUUACCUUCCGCAUUGUUCUGACUGCAUCCCUCCUGUUUGGUACUACUAAAAAGGCGGAGCAGCUUCUCGAAUUAAUGCCCAGGAUAGGGGUGAAACCUGAAGCCAGCUUGUUGGUUGUCAUGGCUCGCAUAUAUGAAAAGAAUGGACACAAAGAUGAGAUUCAGAAGUUGAAGAGGCAUGUAGAUGAGGCCUGUGGUCUCAGUGAAUCAGAGUUCAGGCAGUACUAUGAUUGCCUGCUCUCCUGCCAUUUGAAAUUCGGGGAUUUGGAUUCUGCUGUGGAUAUGGUACUGGAUAUGCUUAAAAAGGGUAACAACGCAAAGCGGUCACUAGAAGCAGCUAAAGCAGUUCUUGAAGCAGUCGAAUCUAACAAAUUGUAUCUUCCUUAUGAGAAAACGGGCCCCGAAAAUUCAGGUUCCCCAGAUAAACCUCUGUCUACUGAUCGCCAAAUGCAAAAUUACUCUUCAUUCUUCAAAGAUAAGAGCUUUGCAAGGCUUGAAUUAGAGGCGAGAGAAUUACACAAGCUAUUAUCAGAUAAGCUGCAGGAACAGGUUGGACUGGUAAAAUCUGAACAUGGUGUCCUCCAUCCAACUGAAACAAUGUAUGCCAAACUAGUCAAAGCUUUCUUGGAAGCAGAUAAGAUCAGUGCAUUGGCAUCGUUUCUUGUGAAGGCAAGCAAAGAGGAUUCAGCUGUGUCUGUUGAGAGCUCCUUUGUUGUACAAGUGAUAAAUGCAUGCAUUUCUCUUGGGUUAUUAGAGCAAGCACAUGACCUUCUUGACGAGAUGAGAUUUUCUGGAGUUAGAGUUGGUUCUUCCAUUUAUUCGUCACUCCUAAAAGCUUACUGCAAAGAGGAGAAUCAUGAAGAUGAUAUAACUGCACUUUUGAAGGAUGCUCAACAGGCAGGAAUCCAGCUUGAUUCAAGCUGCUACGAAGAUUUGAUACAAUCCAGGGCACAUCACAAUAACACCACAGGCGCUCUCCAUCUUUUUAAAGAGAUGAAGAGCUCAAACAUUCAAAAAUCUGUUAACAGGGAGUUUGAGAUGCUAGUACAAAGCUGUGAUAGCAAUGAAGCUGCUUUGACGGCUAAGCUAGUGGAAGAAGUCAAAAGUGGCCAUACAGUUAAUCAUGCCCUUCAUGACUGGAACAAUGUUAUACAUUUUUUCUGUAAGAAGAGAUUAAUGCACGAUGCUCACAAAGCACUGAGCAAGAUGCGUGUUUUAGGCCACACGCCAAAUGCACAAACUUUCCAUUGUUUAGUAACUGCUUAUGCUGCUGUUGGUGGCAAGUAUGUGGAGGUGACAGAUUUGUGGGGCGAAAUGAAAGUUCUGGCCAACUCCAACUCGAUGAAAUUUGAUCAGGAACUGUUGGACUCUCUGUUGUAUUGCUUUGUGAGAGGUGGUUUCUUCCUUCGAGCAAUGGAAGUUAUAGAAUUGAUGGAAAAGUGCGAGAUGUUUAUAGAUAAAUACAAGUACAAGUCCCUGUGGCUUAAAUAUCAUAGAACAUUGUACAAAGGUAAGGCUCCUAAGGUGCAAACAGAAGCUCAACUGAUAAGGAGAGAAGCAGCACUACAUUUCAAGAGAUGGAUUGGGUUGACAUGA
rnacentral:rRNA from 1 species